AUUGAACGCUGGCGGCAGGCCUAACACAUGCAAGUCGAGCGGAUGAUGGGAGCUUGCUCCUGGAUUCAGCGGCGGACGGGUGAGUAAUGCCUAGGAAUCUGCCUGGUAGUGGGGGACAACGUUUCGAAAGGAACGCUAAUACCGCAUACGUCCUACGGGAGAAAGCAGGGGACCUUCGGGCCUUGCGCUAUCAGAUGAGCCUAGGUCGGAUUAGCUAGUUGGUGGGGUAAAGGCUCACCAAGGCGACGAUCCUUAGCUGGUCUGAGAGGAUGAUCAGUCACACUGGAACUGAGACACGGUCCAGACUCCUACGGGAGGCAGCAGUGGGGAAUAUUGGACAAUGGGCGAAAGCCUGAUCCAGCCAUGCCGCGUGUGUGAAGAAGGUCUUCGGAUUGUAAAGCACUUUAAGUUGGGAGGAAGGGCAGUAAGUUAAUACCUUGCUGUUUUGACGUUACCGACAGAAUAAGCACCGGCNCACCGGCUAACUCUGUGCCAGCAGCCGCGGUAAUACAGAGGGUGCGAGCGUUAAUCGGAUUUACUGGGCGUAAAGCGUGCGUAGGCGGCUUCUUAAGUCGGAUGUGAAAUCCCUGAGCUUAACUUAGGAAUUGCAUUCGAUACUGGGAAGCUAGAGUAUGGGAGAGGAUGGUAGAAUUCCAGGUGUAGCGGUGAAAUGCGUAGAGAUCUGGAGGAAUACCGAUGGCGAAGGCAGCCAUCUGGCCUAAUACUGACGCUGAGGUACGAAAGCAUGGGGAGCAAACAGGAUUAGAUACCCUGGUAGUCCAUGCCGUAAACGAUGUCUACUAGCCGUUGGGGCCUUUGAGGCUUUAGUGGCGCAGCUAACGCGAUAAGUAGACCGCCUGGGGAGUACGGUCGCAAGACUAAAACUCAAAUGAAUUGACGGGGGCCCGCA
rnacentral:rRNA from 1 species